AGCGGCGGACGGGUGAGUAAUGCCUGGGAAUAUGCCCUGAUGUGGGGGAUAACUAUUGGAAACGAUAGCUAAUACCGCAUAAUCUCUUCGGAGCAAAGAGGGGGACCUUCGGGCCUCUCGCGUCAGGAUUAGCCCAGGUGGGAUUAGCUUGUUGGUGAGGUAAUGGCUCACCAAGGCAACGAUCCCUAGCUGGUCUGAGAGGAUGAUCAGCCACACUGGAACUGAGACACGGUCCAGACUCCUACGGGAGGCAGCAGUGGGGAAUAUUGCACAAUGGGGGAAACCCUGAUGCAGCCAUGCCGCGUGUGUGAAGAAGGCCUUCGGGUUGUAAAGCACUUUCAGUAGGGAGGAAGGUAGUGUAGUUAACACCUGCAUUAUUUGACGUUACCUGCAGAAGAAGCACCGGCUAACUCCGUGCCAGCAGCCGCGGUAAUACGGAGGGUGCGAGCGUUAAUCGGAAUUACUGGGCGUAAAGCGCAUGCAGGCGGCCUGUUAAGUCAGAUGUGAAAGCCCGGGGCUUAACCUCGGAAUUGCAUUUGAAACUGGCAGG
rnacentral:rRNA from 1 species